AGACACUGACCAGUGGGGUUGCCUGGGUUUAUAAUCACCAUUGCUCUUACAGUUAUUCCUUUAGAGCGAGCUUGAAAAACUGCAUGCCGAAGGUCAUUAACAUCAAGACCCCAAUUUGCUGUCUCUUCUAGGUAAUAUGGCACAAGGGAACCACCAAACAGAGAUAUUGCAGCAGAAUAAAGUGGGUACUGUGGAACUGGAACCAAAACCCCAUCACCUUCACCACGAAUUAUUGUAUUCAAGAUCUGCAUCACACCCUUACUGGCUCCAUCAGUGAGAAAUAUUAGUUCUGGAUCACUUGGAUAUUCAUCACGCCUUCCUAUGAACUCUGCCACCUCCUUCCUAAUUCCAGGGAUACCUCGGGAGUCACUGUAAGCACCUAGACCACCAGAAGUCAGUGAAAGAUAAUGUUUAGCUCUUGCAAUUGCAUCCGCGGGGAAUAUGAGUCCUACAUUAGGAUCAUCUAGUAGAAAUGGAGCUUGGCAGAGAGCAACCACCUGACGAGGAAAUGUGAGUGGCUUCUGUCCUAGAGCAUGAGGAUUGCCCACAUUUGUGAAAAUAAUCUUCUUCCCUUCCUUCUGAAGCUCAGAAGCUCGAAGAUACAGCUCACCUCUAACAGCAUACUGAACCUUCUUCAUAUUUUCAUUCAACGAUUCAUAGUCUAAUGCCUUAGGUGCCAUGAUGUAUGAUAAUCUGCCUUCUUUUUGAGAAAACGAACUCAGUUCCUAACCUCUAAAAGAGUUAGCCGCGAGUUUUCCAGGGGAGUUCCGCAAGCAGAAACCAAGUGUUAGUCUAACCAC
rnacentral:misc_RNA from 1 species